rnacentral:lncRNA from 1 species
GUCCUUCUUCAUAUAGGUCAUCCUCUAUGCAGUAGCUCAGUCCACGUUCUCCUGGUCUGUGCUCAGUAAUGUUAACUCUUGGAGGCACUAGUUGCUGCUGUCGUCAUUGUCAUUGUCAUCACAUCUGCAUCAUCCCCAUCAUCAUCAUCACCAAUGUCAUCACCACCAUGGUCACCACCAUCAUCACCAUCUUCACCAUCAUCAUCAUCACACUCACCAUCAUCACAUCAUCAUUAUCACAGUCACCUUCAUCACCAUCACCACCAUGGUCACCAUCAUCACCAUCAUCAUCAUCAUCAUCAUCACACUCACCGUCAUCACCAUCCUCAUCACCAGCAUCACCGUCAUCACCAUCACCACCAUCACCACCAUGGUCACCAUCAUCACCAUCAUCAUCACCACCAUCACCACCAUGGUCACCAUCAUCACCAUCAUCACGAUUAUCAUCACCAUCUUCACCGUCAUCACAUAAUCAUUAUCACAGACACCAUCAUCACCAUCACCACCAUGGUCACCAUGGUCACCAGCAUCACCAUCCUCAUCACCAGCAUCACUGUCAUCACCGUUACCACCAUGAUCACUAUCAUUACCAUCAUCAUCAUCACAUUCACCAUCACCAUAAUCAUCAUCAUCACCAUCACCACCAUCACCACCAUGGUCACCAUCAUCACCAUCAUCACGAUUAUCAUCACCAUCUUCACCGUCAUCACAUAAUCAUUAUCACAGACACCAUCAUCACCAUCACCACCAUGGUCACCAUGGUCACCAGCAUCACCAUCCUCAUCACCAGCAUCACUGUCAUCACCGUUACCACCAUGAUCACUAUCAUUACCAUCAUCAUCAUCACAUUCACCAUCACCAUAAUCAUCAUCAUCACCAUCACCACCAUCACCACCAUGGUCACCAUCAUCACCAUCAUCACCAUCCUCGUCACCAGCAUCACUGUCAUCACCGUUACCACCAGGGUCACCAUCAUCACCAUCAUCACCAGCAUAACUGUCAUCACUGUCACCACCAUCACCACCGUGGUCACCAGCAUCACCGUCAUCACCAUCCUCAUCACCGUCAUCCACACACAUCACCUGCACACUCCUGUCUUGUCAUAUCCAC